AAAUUGAAGAGUUUGAUCAUGGCUCAGAUUGAACGCUGGCGGCAGGCCUAACACAUGCAAGUCGAGCGGUAGCACAGAGAGCUUGCUCUCGGGUGACGAGCGGCGGACGGGUGAGUAAUGUCUGGGAAACUGCCUGAUGGAGGGGGAUAACUACUGGAAACGGUAGCUAAUACCGCAUAAUGUCGCAAGACCAAAGUGGGGGACCUUCGGGCCUCAUGCCAUCAGAUGUGCCAGAUGGGAUUAGCUAGUAGGUGGGGUAACGGCUCACCUAGGCGACGAUCCCUAGCUGGUCUGAGAGGAUGACCAGCCACACUGGAACUGAGACACGGUCCAGACUCCUACGGGAGGCAGCAGUGGGGAAUAUUGCACAAUGGGCGCAAGCCUGAUGCAGCCAUGCCGCGUGUGUGAAGAAGGCCUUCGGGUUGUAAAGCACUUUCAGCGGGGAGGAAGGCGGUGAGGUUAAUAACCUCAUCGAUUGACGUUACCCGCAGAAGAAGCACCGGCUAACUCCGUGCCAGCAGCCGCGGUAAUACGGAGGGUGCAAGCGUUAAUCGGAAUUACUGGGCGUAAAGCGCACGCAGGCGGUCUGUCAAGUCGGAUGUGAAAUCCCCGGGCUCAACCUGGGAACUGCAUUCGAAACUGGCAGGCUAGAGUCUUGUAGAGGGGGGUAGAAUUCCAGGUGUAGCGGUGAAAUGCGUAGAGAUCUGGAGGAAUACCGGUGGCGAAGGCGGCCCCCUGGACAAAGACUGACGCUCAGGUGCGAAAGCGUGGGGAGCAAACAGGAUUAGAUACCCUGGUAGUCCACGCCGUAAACGAUGUCGAUUUGGAGGUUGUGCCCUUGAGGCGUGGCUUCCGGAGCUAACGCGUUAAAUCGACCGCCUGGGGAGUACGGCCGCAAGGUUAAAACUCAAAUGAAUUGACGGGGGCCCGCACAAGCGGUGGAGCAUGUGGUUUAAUUCGAUGCAACGCGAAGAACCUUACCUGGUCUUGACAUCCACAGAACUUUCCAGAGAUGGAUUGGUGCCUUCGGGAACUGUGAGACAGGUGCUGCAUGGCUGUCGUCAGCUCGUGUUGUGAAAUGUUGGGUUAAGUCCCGCAACGAGCGCAACCCUUAUCCUUUGUUGCCAGCGGUUCGGCCGGGAACUCAAAGGAGACUGCCAGUGAUAAACUGGAGGAAGGUGGGGAUGACGUCAAGUCAUCAUGGCCCUUACGACCAGGGCUACACACGUGCUACAAUGGCAUAUACAAAGAGAAGCGACCUCGCGAGAGCAAGCGGACCUCAUAAAGUAUGUCGUAGUCCGGAUUGGAGUCUGCAACUCGACUCCAUGAAGUCGGAAUCGCUAGUAAUCGUAGAUCAGAAUGCUACGGUGAAUACGUUCCCGGGCCUUGUACACACCGCCCGUCACACCAUGGGAGUGGGUUGCAAAAGAAGUAGGUAGCUUAACCUUCGGGAGGGCGCUUACCACUUUGUGAUUCAUGACUGGGGUGAAGUCGUAACAAGGUAACCGUAGGGGAACCUGCGGUUGGAUCACCUCCUUA
rnacentral:rRNA from 1 species